AACGAACGCUGGCGGCAUGCCUAACACAUGCAAGUCGAACGAGACCUUCGGGUCUAGUGGCGCACGGGUGCGUAACGCGUGGGAACCUGCCCUUAGGUUCGGAAUAACUCCCCGAAAGGGGUGCUAAUACCGGAUAAUGUCUUCGGACCAAAGAUUUAUCGCCUUUGGAUGGGCCCGCGUUGGAUUAGCUAGUUGGUAGGGUAAAAGCCUACCAAGGCGACGAUCCAUAGCUGGUCUGAGAGGAUGAUCAGCCACACUGGGACUGAGACCCGGCCCAGACUCCUACGGGAGGCAGCAGUGGGGAAUAUUGGACAAUGGGCGAAAGCCUGAUCCAGCAAUGCCGCGUGAGUGAUGAAGGGCUUAGGGUUGUAAAGCUCUUUUACCCGGGAUGAUAAUGACAGUACCGGGAGAAUAAGCUCCGGCUAACUCCGUG
rnacentral:rRNA from 1 species